rnacentral:tRNA from 1 species
GCAGCAGUAGCUCAGUGUCAGAGCGCCAGUCUUGUAAACUGGAUGCCGAGGGCUAAAUUCCCCCCUGCUACU